GUUUGAUGCCAUGAUUGUCACUCAGCAGUUAAAGAGAACCAUCAAGUUUUACUCUAUGCUGGAACUGCAAUCCUCAGGAAGACAUUUUCCAUGUCUACCAUGCACACAUGCUGCAGCUUUGCUGGUGUGAAGAAAAGAUGGCAGACACUGUUUCCUGCUGCCUCUGAUCAGCUGGGAUUUGCUCAAGAUGCAUCAGUGACCUUGGCAAGUAGCCCAUGGCUGGGGCCAGAACAGGCGUGUGGUACCAAGGUGUGCUGUGGAUGUCCUUUUCCAUGCUUUCCCUGCUUUCUCUGUGUGGUUACGGAGCCGCUCACGGGGCCCUGCCGUACGCCGGGGCCGGAGACGCCCGCAGCAGCAGCUGCCUUGCAGGGUGCAGUGUGGUCUCUCCUCAUCUGCCACAGCCACCAGCCAGCUGAGCCAUUGACUGUGAUAGCAAAGGAGCUUCAAGA